rnacentral:lncRNA from 1 species
UGGGUCUGGGGGGUCUCUCUGGAGAGUGGCUAUAAAUGCUAGCCUUUGUGCUGGGCGGCAAAGCAAAUCAUCGGAAAUAACCCAGGAGCCUGGCAGGGAAACCGCUGCACUAUGGAGAGGACGCUUCCAGAUACAGAGGACAAAUCAAGUGAAGGGACAGAACAGGUCACACCCAGAGCUGCACAGAGGAUCUAUGAAAGAUAAAAUGUGGUGUGAGGACACGGCCCAGCCCCACCGUCGUCUUCCAGCCCCACCGUCGUCUUCUAGCCCCACCAUCGUCAUCUUGGACUCUCUGGGUGGCACCACGCUGUGGGUGCUGCUCUCCUCUGUGUCCCAAACGAGUUUGUGCCUCACUUUGUCGGGUUUUGGCUGUGACUUGGAGCCUCACCAAGCUCCCUUUUCCUCUGUCUCCCAUUCUCCUCUCCAGGCCAGGGUGGCUUCCCCAGCCCUCCUCCCUGGGUCCUGCCUGUGCCGAGCCUUCCUCCCAGGAGGGAGGUGAUACUGACUUGAGAUCUUAUGGGUGUUUUGUGUGUGGCUGGGCCUGGCCGACCCUCUCUCCACGGCCUUAGAUCAUGCUCUGGAUGGAUAGGACAGUCGUCCUCAAUACUGAGCCUCUUUGGAACAUACCCACUGAUGGUGGUUCACAAGCUACCCACGCCCACAGGCUGACCCAGAUCUCCGUGAAAUUAAAAAAUACUGUGAAAGGAAAAA